rnacentral:rRNA from 1 species
CAGCCGCCGCGGGAAAACAGAGGGUGCGAGCGUUAAUCGGAUUUACUGGGCGUAAAGCGUGCGUAGGCGGCUUUUUAAGUCGGAUGUGAAAUCCCUGAGCUUAACUUAGGAAUUGCAUUCGAUACUGGGAAGCUAGAGUAUGGGAGAGGAUGGUAGAAUUCCAGGUGUAGCGGUGAAAUGCGUAGAGAUCUGGAGGAAUACCGAUGGCGAAGGCAGCCAUCUGGCCUAAUACUGACGCUGAGGUACGAAAGCAUGGGGAGCAAACAGGAUUAGAUACCCCAGUAGUCCCUGUCUCUUAUAC